CCUACGGGCGGCAGCAGUGGGGAAUAUUGCACAAUGGGGGCAACCCUGAUGCAGCUACGCCGCGUGAGUGAAGAAGUCCUUCGUUAUGUAAAGCUCUAUCAUCAGGGAAGAAAAUGACGUUACCUGUGUAAUACUCCCCUGCUAACUCCGUGCCAGCAGCCGCGGUAAUACGUAGGGGGCAAGCGUUAUCCGGAUUUACUGGGUGUAAAGGGAGCGUAGACGGCAGUGCAAGUCUGGAGUGAAAGGCGGGGGCUCAACCCGCGGACUGCUCUGGAAACUGUACGGCUGGAGUGCAGGAGAGGUAAGUGGAAUUCCUAGUGUAGCGGUGAAAUGCGUAGAUAUUAGGAGGAACACCAGUGGCGAAGGCGGCUUACUGGAAUGUAACUGACGUUGAGGCUCGAAAGCGUGGGGAGCAAACAGGAUUAGAUACCCUUGUAGUC
rnacentral:rRNA from 1 species